AUGACAAGACGACGACUAAACUCGAAAUGACUGAGUGGAAAGUUACAAGUUCAUUUGGUUGCAAAUGCACUGCAGACAGGAAAUGAGCCAACCACUUCUACACCAGCCCACUCUCUUCCUGACAAAAAAGAGAGUCCUCGACAAAGGCAGAAGACAGUUGUUCGGCACUGACUCGGACAAAAAAAACUUGCAGGGAAGCUAACACUGAACCACCAACAUCAUCAAUGAAGAUUAUCAGCAAGGAGAAAACCGACUGAAGUUCCAAACCACUUUUUGUAAAAACAAAACUGGAGGAAGCGACUUGGGCUCCACUACAUAAACUAGCAACCUACAUAAAGAUAAGUUCAUGUACCCCGUUUGCCGCGGCCACAAUUGAUUGAUUAUGCUGUUUUUGAUAUUAGAUUGUCAUGGAUUUUGCUAGCAGAUUUCACUUACUACUGUUCCUAUCAUGGAUUGGUUGCCAAGACCAUUUGCUAUUUUUUGUAUUGUUAAUGGCUCCCAAAAACCAAUGUUUCCUCAACAUUCCUGGUUUGAUUUUCAUGAUUCUUUGUGGUUUUUUCAUCACAAGAAUAUAAAUAUUUUGGCUUUCGAUUCUCA